AUACAAAUUACCUGGGGAUCUUUUUAAAACACAGAUUUUGCUUCAGUAAGUCUGGGCUGAAGCUUGAGGUUUUGCAUUUCUAACAAACUCCCAGGUCCUGUUACU
rnacentral:pre_miRNA from 1 species